CGGGGAACUGUUACGCGAGCGUAGAGGGUGAGGGAAGGGAGAGGAAAUGCGCGUGCGCAGGCUCCGAGCGCGAGGGUUCGGAAAGGUUCGGAAAGGUUCGUUAGGAGCAUUUCAGGCUGCGGCAGCAACUCCAAUAUGUUGUUUUAGAAUUCCUUUGUCUCUUAACUUCCCCUUCCCGGUCUCCCCACCCCCACCCAUCAUCUCCGCUGGAAUGUCUGUUCUUUUGUUCUCAAGCUAUUUUCAUUUUCGAACGUGUCCUUUCCUUCUCCCAAAUUAAGAACAAAGAAUAACUAGGGAGACCGAGAGGGAAGAGGAAGGUGUUAGAGAGCCCCCCCACACCCACCCGAAAAGGUAUAAGGAAUAUGAAAUCCCAUUGUGUUCAUUUUAGUUGUGAAAAAAAAUGAUUUCUUUAAAAUCUUUCUGACUUAGAAGCUCUUUUACAGAUAUCUUAACAUCCUUGUUUAUUUUUUGUUCAGUCUUUUCUGACUCUACAUUCGUGACCAUACUGGGGCCUCUUCUCCCUCUAUUUUUCUUCACUUGGUGAGUUCACAAGCUCCCAAGGAUUUAAUUAUCUUUAUGCUGUUGAUUCUCAAAUUACAUCUGUCGUUAAAGGGUUAUGAGCUGGGUUCAAGAGAAGAGUAGAAGGUACAGUGUUGAGUUGAAUUGGUUCACCAAGUAGUUUGGAUGGGGAAAAGAGGAGGGACUUGGUGAGUGCAGGGGAAAUUGCCUAGGAGAGAAUUGGACUAGGGAUUGAGGAUCACGGUGUGAAAAAAGAGCAGUUAUGCAAAGAAAGGCAGAGAAGAGGUGGAAAGCUAAUAGAUUAUGCUCUGAUAGAGUAUUUCAGCAUUCUUGAACAUGGAGGUGUUAAAUUUGUGGGUGAUGGCAAGAUCUUUGUUAAGCCAUUGUAUAAGAGAUGAGGUCACCCCUAAGAAACAAUAUAUAAAAAUAAACAGCGGUCUUCGAAUGUCGUGGGAAGGGGGAAAGGUUCCUUGCCUCUGAAUUCCAGAGGUUGUAGCAAGCAUAAAGCAAAGGGAAGACUGAGCUUUGAUAAGACCGAAGAUAUGUAGGAAGGUCAUUGGCUCUAAGAAGAUCCCAGAGAGAAAGAUCUAAGCUAAACAAGCCCUAGCAAAAGAUUAGCUCUUUCCACAACCUGUCCACAGAUAUUGUAGUAUAAUCUUAUUGUUUCAUUACCCAUAUAUUUCCAGUAAAUUGAAUUUUGCCUUAACCAGAGGUUUAGAAGUAUAGGCAGAGAUUCCUACUGAGGGAGGCGUUUUCCUAGGAAUUUUCCUAGCUGAGGGCUUAGAAUGAUUGCAACUGACCUCAGAACUUUUCCAUCAAAAUAAACUCCCUAAAGGCAAAGAAGAAGGAAAGAAGUGAAUCUUAGAGAACUGUCAUAUUGCCCCCCAAAUUGUCCAAUAAAUGUGAAAUGAGGCCAAAUAGGAGGUGUCUUCAAAUUAUCUGGAGGAUAUUGCCAUACCUUCUGGAUAUUGUAUAAAACUAUUGAAUUGGGAAAUUCCAGAAAUUUGAAUCAAGCUCCACAACUCCAGAGGAAGAAUUGCCUGGAGGGAGAGAGGAUAUGCAAGAGAUAGAGUUUAAUUUUCAGGCUUGACCUGAUCUCUUUCUCUCCUCUCUUGACCCUGGAGACAUUGCAAGCUUCAAAGGUUCCUGCAUAUUUUUAACUUCCCAUCCUAUCUGAGUCUUAACUUCAUCCCCAGAUCAACUGACAACAGUAUCUACCUUCAGACCCAUUGACAUAAGGGAUAUAGAUUCCUGGAUCCACCAAGACAAGCAAAGAAACUACUUGUUUAAGGUGAACUUCUUGAAUGCCCUACAAAUGAUAGAAAAAAACCUCCAGCAACCAAUAGUUGAGUUACCUGUUGGCAAGUAUGUGAAGACUUCUAGAUGGGCAAGUGAAAACAAUUCAUUCCAGCAGCCAUGAAAGUGACUGAAGCAGGCAUUGUGGGAGGCUUAGCACUUGGUCAGACAUGAUGACCCCAAGGCCAUUCACUACAUCCUGAGUCAUUACCAGUCAUUCUGACUUUUUUUCUGGCCAUUUGACUUUGAUGACUGGAAGGGGCUGGCAACUUUGUGCAACUCUGCCUCAUUGAAAUCCAAUUCAUGCACAAGUCAAGGCAUUACCCUAAUGACAGUCAUUAGAAUAACUCUUUUGACUAAUAAAGGUAACCUUUUGUCACUCUCUAAGGCCUGGACUCCAUAGAGAUUGGUGGAAGAGUGCGUCACAGACAUUUGAUGGUGCUUUUUUGUACCAAUUCUUCCUCAGUAUCAUUUUAGUAAAAAUCCUUUUCUAAAAGCUAUUUGAGGGGGCAGCUAGGUGGCUCAGUGGGUUGAGAGACAGACCCAAAGAUGGGAGGUCCUGGGUUCAAACCUGGUCUCAGCCACUUUCUAGCUGUGUGACCCUGGGCAAGUUACUUAACCCCCAUCUCCUAACCCUUACCACUCUUCUGCCUUGGAAGCAAUACACAGUAUUGAUUCUAAGAUGAAAGGUAAGGGUUUUUAAAAAUUAAUAAACAAAUAUAAAAGCUAUUUGAAGCUGACUGACUAAAUUGAUAUCAACAAUUUUGGGGUGCAGGGGUUGUAGUGGGGAGGAAGGCAGCAGAGAAACAUAAUGGUGACGAUUUGAACUCAUGGUAUCAGAGAAGCACUCCUAACUCCUCACAGACCUAAGAGUUAUCUGUGAAGUAGGAGUGGGGAUCAAGAUGCUCAGAGCUUGGUUUACAUUUACAUCAAGACCAUUUAAGAUUCUUUGAAAGGCAUAACAAAUCAGACAAAACAUACACAACAGAAGCCAAGGGCAGAAAAGAAUUCCCUGGGGAUCACAUUUCUGUUUUGGCAUUGUACUGAUUGCUCCCCUGAUCAAUCCCAUCUGUCUUCUCCACCAUCAUCCCUACUGGCUCAAUAUCUACUUGGCUCCUGCUCUACCACCUACAAACAUGCCCAGGUUUCUCCCAUUCUCAUAUAACCAAGCUUCCACCCAAGCCUGGAGCAUUUUGCAUGGUACUGUAUAUAAGCAGAAGCAGCUAAGUAGCACAGUGGAUAGAGUGCAGGGGUUGGAGUCAAGAAGACUCAUCUUCAUGAGUUCAGAUCUGUCCUCAGAUACUUAAUAGCCAUGUGACUUGGGCAAGUCACUUAACCCUACUUGCCUCAAUUCCUCCUCUGUAAAAUGAGCUGAAGAAGAAAAUGUCAAGCCACUCGGGAGGUGGUUUUUUGCCCAGUGUCUUUGCCAAGAAAAAUCACAAAAUGGGGUCAUGAAGAGUUGGACAUGACUGAAAUGAUUCAACAUCAACAAAAGUAUAUAACCCUGUAUACCUGAAUGAGAGACCUACCAAGGGGAUGCCAGAGCUUCUUCUGAAAGAUGUGUUACCAAAUUUUCUUCAGGAGGUUCACAAAAUGGAAAGAGAAGUAUCACCCUUAACAUGGUCCCGAUAUCCAGGUUGCCUCCUUAGAGAAUGCCAAGAAAGAACUUCUCAGGUUUUUUUACACUGGCAACUUCUUCCAGAACACUCUCUUUCAGUUAUGACCCUAAAAGAGAAACUUCUUUCUGCGAUCUCUCCCAAUUCUUGAUUACUAUUGUAGCAAGGGAAUUGUGCAAGGCUGACUGACAGCCUUCAAACCAAGAUUCCACAGAGUUCUCUGAGUCAGCAUUCUAAGGUAGCUGGAAAACUGGCAACUGAUACUCUAUCUCUGGGAAGCAGACAGAGAGGAUGUGUGGCAGUGUCUCUCUGAAGGAAACCAACUUUGGAGCUGCCUGGGAAUUGGAUCAUCUUUUAAGGAGUAGUUGAGUGAGUGGUCCCCUCACACUGGUGAAUGGUGUAUGGCUGUGAACCUCCUCCCUUCCUGAACCUUGUGAGGACUAUUCAGCUUGAUAUUGCAGUUUGACCCAACCAAAGAUUUUGGAGUUGUGAGAAUCUGGGCCCUGUGGUCUUUACCAACCCUUUACCUUUUGUUACCCCUUUUAUUUAGUUAGAUUAAGGUUAUUUAGAAAGGCUAAGAUUUUAAUAUCUGGGUGGGUUAGAAAUAAGUCACUCCCUGUUACCCCUUCCAAAUCCCUUGUCCCUUUAGCUAAUAAACCUGUUUUUAUAUAUA